rnacentral:rRNA from 1 species
UACGUAGGGUGCGAGCGUUGUCCGGAAUUAUUGGGCGUAAAGGGCUCGUAGGCGGUUUGUCGCGUCGGGAGUGAAAACCUCGGGCUUAACUCGGGGCUUGCUUUCGAUACGGGCAGACUGGAGGUAUGCAGGGGAGAACGGAAUUCCUGGUGUAGCGGUGGAAAUGCGCAGAUAUCAGGAGGAACACCGGUGGCGAAGGCGGUUCUCUGGGCAUGACCUGACGCUGAGGAGCGAAAGUGUGGGGAGCGAACAGG